rnacentral:rRNA from 1 species
ACGGAAGGCAGCAGUGGGGAAUAUUGGACAAUGGGGGAAACCCUGAUGCAGCAACGCCACGUGUGGGAAGACGCAUUUCGGUGUGUAAACCACUGUCGUGAGGGAAUAAGGACGCUUCUCGGAGCGUUUGAAUGUACCUCGAAAGGAAGCACCGGCAAACUUCGUGCCAGCAGCCGCGGUAAUACGAGGGGUGCAAGCGUUGUUCGGAAUCACUGGGCGUAAGGGGAGCGCAGGCGGAAGUGCAAGCGGUCUGUAAAAUACCGGGGCCCAACCCCGGCCCUGCAGAACGGACUGCAUUUCUUGGAUAGUUCAGGGGCAAGUGGAAUUCCUGGUGUAGCGGUGGAAUGCGUAGAGAUCAGGAAGAACACCGAUGGCGAAGGCAGCUUGCUGGGGAAUUACCGCCGCUCAUGCUCGAAAGUGCGGGUAGCAAACAGGAUUAGAUACCCUGGUA